rnacentral:sRNA from 1 species
ACAAAAAAGGCAGAGAGCUUAAAUUUUCUGCCAAACUUCGCGGUCAAGUCUUGGGAGGAUCAGAUCUUAGGCGCGUUCAUUCGCUGCCCCGGCGACGGAAAAGGAUCACGCGAUACUUGAAAACAAGGCCCUCUCGGCCUUGUUUUUUUUU